UGAUGAAGGCUUUUUGACUCUCUCAGAGGGCUAGUCCUAAAGCUGAUUUGAUUCAGAAGAAACUACAGCUCAAAGGAAUGUGUAUGUGUUGGCAUUUCCUUGUCGUGGAAAGUCCCAGCCAGUGAUCAAUUAAAAAAAAAAAGAAAGAAAAGAAGAGAAGAAAGGGAAGAGAAGAGAAAAAAUUUAAGGAGUGCUAUGGCUUGCCAACCAUGUGACCUAGCCAAACCAUCAAUUACCCUGCGGUAUUCACUGAGGCAACUCCAUUCAUACUACUGAGAUACAUUUUGCUGACCUGCAAGUAUUUGAAUUUCUUUACCUGAUGGCUGGAACCAUUCUUCUCAAGGCAGGCUGGAAGUACUGAGGAACUCCUGAGUGCCCAUGCCAGCAAUCUGCAACUUUGACUUCCCCUCCCCAGGUGGAACAAGCCCCAGCUGCUGUGCAUCUGCUCCCAGUGCUCUCAGUGGGGCCCAGAAACCAUGGAGCCAAGUGACCAUGAACUAAACCUCUGGAACUGAAAGCCAAAGAUUAGAGGAUGUCAUGCAACACACCGAGGCCUUAACUAACUAUACUCAACAAGACUUAAAUGAUAAUUCAACUGGUCUCUCUCCUAAGUGAAGAAGUAAAAUUAAUGAGACAAGCUAUCCUCCAAAAUUGAAUGCCAUUAGACAUUCUAACCGCAGACAAGGGGGUACUUGUGCAAUUGUAAAAGCUGAAUGUUGUG
ensembl:lncRNA